rnacentral:tRNA from 1 species
GGAAGGUUGGCAGAGUGGUAAUGCACCGGACUCGAAAUCCGGUGAACCGGCUAAUACCGGCGCGCAGGUUCAAAUCCUGUACCUUCCU